rnacentral:rRNA from 1 species
GUAGGAGGCGAGCGUUAUCCGGGUUUACUGGGCGUAAAGGGCGUCUAGGCGGUGUCCUAAGUUGGGCGUGAAAUCUCCCGGCUCAACCGGGAGGCGCCGUCCAAUACUGAGACACUUGAGGGCAGGAGAGGAAAGUGGAAUUCCCGGUGUAGUGGUGGAAUACUUAGAUAUCGGGAGGAACACCAGUGGCGAAGGCGACUUUCUGGCCUGCACCUGACGCUAAAGCGCGAAAGCGUGGGUAGCGAACGGGAUUAGAUACCCCGGUAGUCCACGCCGUAAACGAUGGAUACUAGGUGUUGGUGGUCAUUGACCCCCAUCAGUGCCGCAGUUAACGCGUUAAGUAUCCCGCCUGGGGACUACGGCCGCAAGGCUA